CAAGUGCCUGGUAAAUGCCUGAAAAAGGUUAGUAAAAUUCUUUAAAUACCAGGAAUAAGAAAGAACAUUCAGCUGUACUAAUAUCAAUAAUAGAAUUAUAAAAUACUAUAGAUCUGAUUACCGAACAAAAGCAAAGUAAUCAUUUAAGACCAAAUUGGAAAACCUUGGUAAAAAGAAUACUUCUUCACAGCUAGUGGCUGACACGUGGCACUUGGAUACCAUUCAGAUGUUUCUCUCUUAUUAUAAGGAUUUUAAACCCAUUGAAGGGGAAUGUUUUUUUUUCCUGUUUUUGUUGUUUUGUUUGCUUUAUGAGAUAUCCUUGGAGAGAUGGACCAGAUGUAAAGCAGAUACCAUCCUUAGGAGUCCUCUGAACUGAUACAGUGAAGAUAUGAAGAAAUUUGAGAAAAGUCUGUACAGACAAAGGAUUCAAGAAGGAAGACGUAAGUGAAGAAGGACAGUUAAUACUACACCCCUCAGUGGAGGAGUUGACAUCUGUGUCAAUUAAGGUUUUUAGUUGUAAAAGUUUAAUGAUAUAUAAUUCAAUAAAUCAGGAAAUGUAAGAUUA